UACGUAGGGUGCGAGCGUUGUCCGGAAUUAUUGGGCGUAAAGAGCUCGUAGGCGGUCUGUCGCGUCUGCUGUGAAAACCCGAGGCUCAACCUCGGGCCUGCAGUGGGUACGGGCAGACUAGAGUGCGGUAGGGGAGAAUGGAAUUCCUGGUGUAGCGGUGGAAUGCGCAGAUAUCGGGAGGAACACCGGUGGCGAAGGCGGUUCUCUGGGCCUUACCUGACGCUGAGGAGCGAAAGCGUGGGGAGCGAACAGG
rnacentral:rRNA from 1 species